ensembl:lncRNA
UUUUAACUACUUUUUUAUUCAUUGUGAGUCAUAAACGCUACAGUGCUGUGUUGUAAGGUGUCUGCUGAUGUUGCAUACCUUUUGGUGUGAGAUGUGGAGCAUGUUAAGACGCUUAAAACACGGUGUAAAGUUCUGACCCCAUGCUGUUAGCGUUCAAUGCUAAGUCUCCGUUCACGGAGCUCUGUAAUGGCUGGACCAAAUGUUUUCGCGUCUUCGGUACUGGCAAGUUUAAAUUGACCGAAGUUCUCCUUUAAAUCAAUUGCUACAGUUGUCACAAUGUCAUCCAGUCAGGCAGCAAAGAACAUCUGACCUCUGAUAAACAUUUUAAGUAGUCAGACCGUAGGUGUCAUUCACACUGGGGACGUUGGGGAAAGGUUGCCACUGCUUUACCAAUCUUGUCUUGAUUCCUUUUUUUAAAUAGCAGAAUUAGCUAAAUAUGUGCUUAAAAAAAAGCUUGCACCAAGAAAUGCCGACUUAUCAGUGACAUUAAAUCAAUUCUGAUGCACCAUUAUGUGAUUAUUUCCCCGUUGUAAGUAUCUACUGAGAUAACAAAGCUUGUUUUAUUGAGAUAACAACACAAAUAACUAGUUUUCUUGAGAUAGCGGUGUAGAAAAAAAAACUGUGCAAGUACGGCCGUUCCUGGCUUCCUUAUGAUAUAGACUUCCAUGUGGACACACGGUACAUUGUCUUAAAAAUGCAACGUUUUAUCACAUCUACCAUAAAUAUCUGUCAUUUGGGUUGUGUUCGUAAGGGCUGUUCAUAAUCCAUCGAAAACUGUGCUGUAUGUGUUGUAUAGGCCUGUGAACAUUACUGGUCAGACUGUACUCAGAUCAAUACUACGCCCUGUCUGGGGCAAACAACUACUCUGCAUACAAACUCAGUAUACCCACCACGCCUGUAUAUUCUCCACUUCAGUGCCUUAAUAACUACAGAAACAGGCAUUUGUGUCAGAUUGUGUAUAAUGUGCAUUUAUGCGCCUAACGCAAAACACUAGUUUUCUUGCCAUGCCAACAAGUGACUGACCAAACUUCAGGAUGAUUAAGCUCUUAUACUUAAGAACAGUCAUGUAAGCUGCUCUUGUUAUACUUGUAAUACUGUCUUAUUGUGUCAUGGCUGCUGUCAUCUUCAUGUGCGUCCCUUACAACAGUCUCCUCAGUGAAUAUUUUCGUUCGCACAGGCAAGCCAUUAUUAGCACGAGUCUACAGUGAUUGACGUUGCAGACAUGGGAUUUGGACUGGAAAUUAAAUCCUUUAUUUGUCCCGGCUCAGGGGAAUGUAAAACGUUAUUAAUUUCUUGAGUAUUUCUGCUCGUUUGCUGCAUUUUUGCCAAUUUAAAUGCUUUAAAAGUCUCACUAGAGGUACGUCAUAUGCUUUUUGUUCCUUUUCUUUUGCAUUUCUCUCUGUGUCAUAAGCGACAUAUCUUUAUCCCCGCUGUUCUAAGCCGCGGCCUCAUUAAUGCACAGAGAUGAGGUGAGCUGCGAGGCACUUGGCGAGGUCCCAAUGAUUCAUUAUUUCACAUCUCCCUUUUGCUUUCUCAGGAAUUCCUUGGAUCUUUUCCUCUUUGAUUAACUCUAAUGGCUUUUUGUCAAUAAAACUAAUUGAAAAAGAGGGUACAAUCCAAUUUGUGUUUUGUCAUUUUUGAGUCUUC